GUUACGUUCUGUUCCCUGUUUGAUAGCUCAGGAGGAUGUAACUCGUCACACUGCUGCCGGGGAAACUAGCUGCUCGAGGAAAGCUGUGGCAGUCUGUCUUCAUAGGAGAGGUGCUCCAGCCCUCUGAUGAUCUUUGUGGCCCUCCUCUGGACUUGUUCAAGCAGAUCCAUGUCCUUCUUGUGCUGGGGGCCUCAGACCUGGAUGGAGUACUGCAGGUUUGGCUGCUACCAGUUAUUUCACCUUUUAUCAACUACAAGCAGCAUGACCUAACAAUGAAGAAUGAUGCAAAUAUAAUGAUCCUAUUGAUUGAAGCAGAGAUUCAUACUUUGAGAGAAAUUGAAUUCACCUACUGAAACAGAAGCUCCUUAGGUCUAGAAGUCCACAGCUGAUAGUGGAAGGAAAGGUGACCUAGCAUAGGCAAAGUUUUACAGGAAUCAAAAGGACAGAAC